CUAGCUUGUUGCCGCCGCCGCCUCCUCCUGCCCCGCUUGCUUCGAAGCUGUUGACUCGCUUCACCGCCGCGACGAGCAUCUCAACAACCUCCGCCACAACGACGGGCACGAGCCCCUCCACCGCCUCCGACUCGUCGCCUCGGCUCACCACUUUCUUACUAGGGCGGCACCGCUGUUCGCGCAGAGGAACAGAGUUGCCGCAUUCGCAUGGACUCCGCCGCCACUGCCCUCCUCGAAUCUGCCUCCGCCUCUUCCGCCAACGUCGCAGGCAAGGAGAUAUCUGCCCGCCACCUCGCCCACCGCACUACCUCAACAUGACCUCCUCCUCGCUCUGCAAGAAGUCAGACCUCGCGCUCCUCCACAUGGUCCCCUGUGCCCCGCUCUGCCGCCUCCUUGACAAUAUCCAUGAGGUUUUGCUCGCCACCAGGCUCACCCUCCUCUUCCCCGCCGUCCUACUCGCGUUUGCCACACAAAUCUUCCACUUCAGCUAGGCAACUCCUCUCCCUCUUCCUCCUAUUACUGUCAUUGCAACUUUUCCCAUUUAAUUUCACGCUGCAUAGAGUACUCCAAUUCGAUCAGAACUUGGGCAUAUUCUUCGAUUGAUAUCCUCUGCACCGUUUGCAGGGUCAUGUUAUUUCCUAAUAUGUGGACGUUUAGUGAAUCAGAGCUCCAGAAUUUGGAAAACACAAAGCUCAAGCCUCAGAAGAAAGUUGGUCUUUAUAAUGCACCCUGUUGUCCAAGUUGCCAUUUCCAGAUUUUUUCCAGCAGCUAUAGAUAUGCACGAACAUUUAUUUUCACUGCUCGAAGUUUUAGACUGAUAAAGUGGACACUGCAUCUACCAGCCAUAGCUCAUUAAGGUGUGUCUGAUGUAUCUUACGGGCUGCCUCAUUGUGUGGUAUUUUCUAUGCACAUUAUCAGUGAUUUAUUAAGGCAAACAUGUUGGGCGUAUGUAUUUCUGUAUGUUGGGCACUCUAUUCAUGUACUAAUAUCACAGUCAUGUUCAUUCUUUAAAGUGCACUGACAUAGUGAAGCAUUUAUUUAGCGGACAGCCUGCAGGAUGAAGAUGAUGAAAACUGUUUUCAACCUCUGCUUUCAUCACAUAAUUUGAUGGAGUCAAAUGUUUAAUUCAUAUGGAAUGCUCCAAUGCCAGUUUAUACUGACAUGUUUUGUUUGUUGUACUACAAGAGAUUAGCCUAAUUCGGUAAUAUAGUUAUUCUUAAUAAAUGAAAUGUAUAGUGAAUGCCUGUGGUACUAAAAUAAGGUGGUAAAAGUUUGUAUGGCUGGAUUGAAAAAUCACAAUGAAUGAAAUAUUUAUUUAUGGGAUCAUAUACCGAGAAUCAUCUUUGGAUGGCAGAGGUGUCUAGCUAGAUGCGCAUCUUUCUCAUGAUGGCACACAAACUGAUUUGGCACUUUGCAGCCUUCUUAUUGUUCAAUUUGUUUUGCUGCAAACUGUCGUCAUUAUCUUUUAAAUGUGUCGUGUUUUAGUAUGUGAAAUGGUGGUAUGUUCUGCGUUUGCAACAUGCAAGUUUCACAGAUGCUAUAGCCACGACGACAGGUGGAGCCCGAUUACAAAUAUGUAUGUGUUCUGUUUAAAUGUAGGCUCUACUUGCGAGUGAAUAUGCAAAAAGAAAUUACAAGCAGGCUUGUUUGGUAUUAUUCAGAGUUCAGCAGGUUAAUAAUGCAGUUUGAAGUCCAGACAUGCUGCUGGAAUUAUUUACCUGGUCUGAGUUCUGCUUGCUGAUACAUUUUGUUAUAAAUGUAGAUUGGAGGUGUAACUGGAAUUGCACUGGGUGCAACUGUGUUCUUUUCAGUCUACAUGUUAGUUGUAUUUGCCAUGCGGAUAAUGUCCAUAUGUUUUUCUCUGCAGCUGUUAUUGAGAAAGGCGACGGUUAUUAUACAUAUGUUUAAGAUAUCUAUCAUACCUAAGAUGAACAGGCUGUAAUUCAAAAUUUGGUAACUUAGAUUUUAUCCAAAAAACAGUAGUAGAUUAAUUAUUGCUAAAUGGUUCUCUCAGUACAUGAACACUCUUUUGUUUUAUGUUGACAGUACGUACAAAAUCAAUCAUCGACAUCCAUUUAUGUCACAAUCUAAUUUCUAUGCCAACCAAUCUAUGCAGGAAAACAAAGAUGGCAUUCAACUACUGAAUGCGGCUAUAGAAAAGGCUUGCUACACGGAAAGGUGGUCAUCGAAAUGGAUGUUCUUGCUUCUGAAUUUUUCAGUGAGGACAAGACUUAUGAUCUUAAUUUUAUGCAGGAGCCUGCAGAUAUCUAUAUGAUUGAUGAACCAAGUGCUUAUCUUGAUUCAGAGCAGCGUAUUGUGGCCUCAAAGGUUAUCAAGAGAUUCAUUCUUCACGUGAAGAAAACUACAUUUAUUGUUGAGCAUGAUUUCAUCAUGGCAACAUACUUGGCUGACAAGGUCAUUGUUUAUGAGGGGCGACCUUCUAUUGACUGUACUGCCAAUGCACCACAGUCUUUAGUAUCCGGGAUGAAUAAAUUCUUAUCGGUAAGUGCAUGAUAACAAAAUAUGGACUGUUACCAAUAACAUAGCGUGCUCUUUGUUGGU